GAUGAAGAACGCAGCGAAAUGCGAUAAGUAAUGUGAAUUGCAGAAUUCAGUGAAUCAUCGAAUCUUUGAACGCACAUUGCGCCCCCCAGUAUUCUGGCGGGCAUGCCUGUUCGAGCGUCAUUUCAACCAUCAAGCCCUGCUUGUGUUGGGGUCCUGCGGCUGCCCGCAGGCCCUGAAAACCAGUGGCGGGCUCGCUAGUCACACCGAGCGCAGUAGCACAUCUCGCUCAGGGCGUGCGGCGGGCUCCAGCCGUUAAAGCACCCACCUUUCGCAAGGUUGACCUCGGAUCAGGUAGGCAUACCCGCUGAACUUAAGCAUAUCAAUAAGCGGAGGA
rnacentral:misc_RNA from 1 species